rnacentral:lncRNA from 1 species
UCCGUCUAGCCACGAGUUUAUCCGCAUUUGAAUACCAGGCCUACCACAAACAUUUUUUGUAUCCUUGAGAAAUAAGCAGCAAAAAAACUUUGACACCAAUAAAAAACUCUCUUCUGAUCUGAAACAAUUGAAAAUUGCACACAAAACAAAAUCAGAAACCUUGACUUCAACAUGAAUUUAUAUGUUAGACUUAGAUGAAAGGAUUAAGAAUGGAAUUGAUAACACUCUCUAAAUUCUUACCAGCUUGUUCUUGAAAGCAAAAAUGAUUGCUCCUGCAUGUUCAGCUGCAUUGCCAACUAUUGGUAGCAAAAUUAUGCUGAGGAAGCUGACAGUAGUAUAGGAAACACAUGUGGCCUAAUCUUGUACGUGUAAAAAUCCUAACAGGGAUAGUAAAAAUAACUCUAAGAGUAAAUGUUAUAUGAAUACCUUGAACAUGCCAAACACUGCUUCAAUCCAACUUAUUUUAGUAAUUUUCGAUAUUUGUCAGGAUUUAGGAGCCAAAUAAAAUCAACAGCACAUAUAUUUC